ACGUCUCUUGUAUAAAUGCAGUCGGAGUGGCAGGCUCUUGCAUUUGGGAAGAGGAGGAACAGGGUUGCUUGUUCUGAUUUGGGAAGGUUCGCACUACAACGAAAAUAAAAAACUAUAACGAAUUAUGGGUUACACAAGACGACUCGAUUUGAGCUGUUUGUUCGGAAAGCUGGUGAUAUUCGGGCGGACAAUGUGGAGUCCUACGUAGGUUAGAGGCGGAUAAUUUGUGCAGACAAGCUACCUAAACGGUACGAGGGUGUUUCAAACAUUCGAAGCUGCAGCAGCAGCGGAGCGCACGUGCCCUCCGUCCACGCCACGUGCUUAAGGAGCGGAAGGCCGCGUCUGGGCACAGAGGCUGCCUUUGAACAGAGGUCGAAGAAAUCCAGAUGCGGCUGGCGCAAGUGCUACCUGGGAGAAGACUGAUUGUAUAAUUUCUUAAGCUUUCUAUGAAUAUAAAAUAAAAUAAAAAUGGUUUAGUCUCCAGUCUUGGUGUGGUCGUUCUUUGAGCACCUGCGACUUGCCCGUCUGCACUGUCUUUGAACCUGUGGAGCCUUACUUGUGGUUUCACAGGCCAAGCUACAGUGCGAGAGAAACGCUUGUUAUAACUGGGGCUUCUUUGGCGUCUACCAAGCUGCUCUUUUAAAAGCAAGUUACAUCUGAACAAUUUGUUUUUUGUAGUAGAACGGUCACCCGCUCUGCCAGUCUUUUCUCCCUUGUAACCUGGUCAACUUGCCGUCUGGGUUGGUGACGUGCUGUGUUUCACAAAACAGGAUUACGGAGUUAGCCGAAUAACCACAGCGAGUGGAACCCUCCCAGAUCUGGACUCUGUACUCCACUCAAUUACCCAGCUAACUCAAAUCCUGCUUUAUGAAACGCCUUCCCUGGUCUUUAACAAAGCAUACUUUGGUUGGGAAAAUGCUGGAUUAAACAUCCCUUGUAACUGCUGCUAGAAAGCUUUUUUUUCCCCCCCCUUCUCCCUUUUUUUGUAUCCAAGUCAAUUUAUACAUUUUGCUGUUGAUUCAAUGCAUGUGAUUGCUAAGCAGUAAAAAAAAAAAAAAACCCAUAGCCAAAAAUAUGACCUUUCAAAGUGGUAUGGCUGCCAUGGCAACCCUUGAACCCUGGCAUGUUUCCCAAGAUGGAUGUGUGUGUGUGUAUAUAUAUCUCUCAAUCAAAAGUGACAUUAGAAUGUGUACAUUUUUAAUCGGAUGCAGGCCCCUGGAGUCAAACCCACAAUGUUUGUGUGUUUUGCACAACUGUGCCACAGGACCACAGACAAUGUCUAAUGAUUCAGAUGGGGAACAAUAGUCAUAAGGGGAGAACGUGAUUUAUUCAAACCGCAAAACCUUUAUUCCUCAUAAGUCGACCUUCAUACAAUAUUCCCUAUACUGCUGAACAUAGUGCAUUUUGUCGUCCUGACUGCUUGUAGUUAUUGCACACAAAAGAGGGGUAUUACGUUGACACGACACAGGUUUCGCACCAUUUUAUCACUUACAAAUGAUAGAGUAUUAAAAGGCUUCCUCUGCAUCAUAACUUCGAAAACAAUUUUUAAAAUCUCAACAAGGCUUGUAUGGUGAACAGAUAAAUCAACAAUAUGGCAAUAAUUGUGUGUGUGUGUGUGUAUAUAUAUAUAUGAAUUAAUACAAUUCCAGUAAAAUGAAGGCAUUACCACAGGAAAGUGAACAGGGUCUGUGAGCUUCCACACAGGCCUGUGUGUACAGUCACACCAUCAGAUGGGCCUCUAAAUGAAUCCACUGAUGAUUCACUUAAAGCAGAGCCGCCCAGUCCUGUUCCUGGAGAUCUACCGCCCCCUGCAGGUUUCAACUCUCCUUAAUUUGGAACGCUUAAUUAUCAGCUCAAUGAAAUCUCCAGCGGUUGAAUGAGGUGCACUUUUGUUAGGGUUGGAAUCCAAACCUACAGGGCAUAUUCCCAGGAACAGGAUUGAGCAGCCUUGAUUCAAAGCUUCACAUAUGCCUGCCUGUACUGUAGUUUGAGAUCCUGCCCAUAAUUACGGUUAUACACUACAAGUCCCAUCAGCCUUUUCUUCAUUAAUAUUGCAGUGCUGGAGCACACUCCAUGUGCAGGACAUUGCAGCAGGCCUAUCCCGUAAAAUAAGUCUGAGGCUUGAUGCAUGCCCUCCCUUUAAUCAUUUCCACAGGCUUGCUGUGAAAGUGGCUUUUUAAUUUUAUUAUUAUUAUGAAUUAUUAUUUUAUAGAAAGAAACAGGUGCUUGUAUGAAAAACAUGACUUCUUAAAUGAGGAAGAGUAUUCUCACAAGUGACCAGGGGAGAAUCUUGACUGUCCAUUGAAGAACACAGAUGAUGAUACUGUGGCAAAAACUAAUUUAAAUAAACCUAGAACAAUCCAAAAAGUUAGAUUAACGUUGUAUUCUUGUUUUUUUUUCUCCAUUCUUUCUUUCUUCAAACUCGUUCAAAAAGGCAGAGAUUUAUUUAAAGUGAGAGCCACUUUUUAAAAAUUAAUGUAUGUGUGGAAUCCCAGUCGUUUUCGAGGGGAGGAGCUAGUGUUUGUUUUAAAGGCACAGGUGCCAAUAGCACAUCGCUGUUUCUUUGAUUAUUAUUAUUUUUUUUUGCCAUUACAAAAGAAAUACAUUUUACACAAGAAACGUAUCAUACUCUAAACAACCUGUAAACAAGAAGGACAACAACAGUGCAUACAUGUGAAUUUAACUUGGCAAAAUAAAUAAUUUCACCCAGUAUCUCCAGUAUAAAACACAGAUACCUUAUAUGUCAGUUUGCCAGAGCCGUUCGCUAGUGUCUUUACACUCUGUUUCCAUGCAGAAUAAUCACUGUUCGAUGCUCUGAGUGACAGGAAUGACUUGGCGUAGUUAAAAAAAAAAAAAAAAACUAAAAACAUCACAAAAGCAUGUAUUGCCAUUACUGUGUGUCUCCUGGCAGAGGCUGCUGCAUAGUAUGGCUAACAUCUCAUGGUUAUGGCUCUUCCAAAGACCCGGGCCGCUGAAAUAUUUAUUAUGUACUUAUUCCAUAUGAAACAUUAAUAUACUGUUGAGGGGGUGAGGGUUCUCCUGAAGAUGAGGUUUUACUUCAGACGCUCAGUCUCUGAGCAAGCCUUGGCUAUCAGCCCAACAAGCGAGGCUAGACUUAAAUUAACUACAGUGUGGGACAGCUGUAGCCACUCCCGACUGUCACUUCACUUCUAUAUAAACCGUUUUACAAAAAAAAAAAACCAUCUCAAAUCGAUAAUACCCCCGUCACUCCCCCCCCCCCCCAUGUAAUCCAUACUGCUGAUUAAUGCUUUCUUUCAGAGAAAUCAAACAUUUUUAACUGACAAAGAAUAUUUCGUACAUUCAUCUUUUUUU